rnacentral:rRNA from 1 species
AUUGAACGCUGGCGGCAUGCCUUACACAUGCAAGUCGAACGGUAACGGGCCUUCGGGUGCCGACGAGUGGCGAACGGGUGAGUAAUACAUCGGAACGUGCCCGAUCGUGGGGGAUAACGAGGCGAAAGCUUUGCUAAUACCGCAUACGAUCUACGGAUGAAAGCAGGGGACCGCAAGGCCUUGCGCGGACGGAGCGGCCGAUGGCAGAUUAGGUAGGUGGUGGGAUAAAAGCUUACCAAGCCGACGAUCUGUAGCUGGUCUGAGAGGAUGAUCAGCCCCACUGGGACUGGGACCCGGCCCAGACUCCUACGGGAGGCAGCCGUGGGGAAUUUUGGACCAUGGGCGCAAGCCUGAUCCAGCCAUGCCGCGUGCAGGAUGAAGGCCUUCGGGUUGUAAACUGCUUUUGUACGGAACGAAAAGCCUUCUUUUAAUACAGGAGGGUCAUGACGGUACCGUAAGAAUAAGCACCGGUUAACUACGUG